GUCAAAUUUGAGGUAAGGUGGGUUAAAUGAGGAGAAACUCUGAGCGAGCUCAAGCCCACACAGCCGAAAUAGAGGUAUUUUUAGAUUUAGCGGAGGGUGCAAACGUCCAGCUUCAUUGUCAGAUCAAAGCCUCCACUUAUGGCACUCCUGGCAGAACACUGAUGUAUUUUAAGGGAAACAUGAUGACAAAUGUUAUAUUUACGCCCUUGAUCUAAAUAUUUACCUAUUUUCAGUUCCCCCCACACAACUCGUCACCGCCCGCUCAUUAACGAUCCUCCCAUUUUAGCAGCAGGAGUCCGACAACACUCCGGAACAUCCCGUGUUUCGCGAAGCCUAGGGCUUCCUGCACUGGGCAGGACAGAACUUGAGGCAUCCACCGUGUCAAGUACAGAGGGUGAAUGAACGCUCGACUCACAGAACGAUCCCAGACGGUGUUGCUCGUGACAAAAUCUGCUGAUGAUUGGAGGUCUAUGGAAAAGUGAGAUGUGAAGCGAACUGGCUGUAUUCCUCAUGGAAGCAGAGGAAAGGCUGACAGGCAUGGAAGAUGAUGGAAGAAAAAGGAGGGGUUUACCAAUAAAUAAGGAUACAAAUAUGGGAAAACGUUACCUUGUAUCCUGCACACAAGAUCAACGUCGAACCAACGUCUGUUAGACUGCUGUACACCUGUAAAUGGAUAUUAAGCAAGUUGAUUACUUUGUAGGAACAACAUAACAUCGUCAGGUAUUUGCAAUAUCUGUCUGUAAACUACCUGGGUUUAAUAAAUGAGCCGGACUUGCUUACGUGUCACGUGCACACGUGAGACUCAUGAGCUGCGAGACGUAAGGAAAUAUGACAAUGAUGUAGUACGUAUUUGAGCUUAAAAAAUGUUUACUUGCACAUAAAACCAUGUAUAGAUACAUUUGUUGUAAUUAUUUACCUUAAUUAGUGAAAUUGUGUAGACGAGAUGCACAUGAACGCUUGUGUUGAGUCGUGUUGCUUUAGUUCUCAAAGACAUGAAGGCAAACACAUACUGAUUUAAUCUUAUUUGUUCUAAUUAAAUCAUAGCCUAUAUGUAGCUUCAAAUGGAUUUGUUGUGACUGUGAUAAUAAGAACUUGUGCGUAACGCGAGCGUCUGCAGACUUGUGUGAAAAUUACAGGCGCGAGUUUUAGCUUGUGGUGCUUUAUAAUUGUUAGGGUUACAUAUUCGUGAGAUCUUAAUAGCUUGUUUAACAUGUUGAAUGGAGCUGCAGACGGAGAGUUGGAGCUGUCAGGCGUUUUCUGUGCACGCUCUGCUGCUGCUGACGUAUCACUCCCACGGCCCAAGUGAGUUUAGGACUCAAAUAAUGCUGUGUUCUAUUAGUUCUUUAGCUAAAUAUGUUUAUUAUAUCGUAUAUGUGUAAUAAGGUUUCAUAACUAGUGUUUAGGGAGCAUUUUGAACACAGUAAAUGUGAAAUAUGACUUGUUGGGACUGGGAGUUAUCAAAGGGUCAAAUGGGUUGGGUCCUGCGGGGGGGCGGGGGGGGGGGGUAUGAUGUCGAAAUUAUAUGUUUUAAAGUUUGUCUAAGCAAAAGAUAAUUAAGUAAAAUAUCUAUAUUUUGCAUCAGUUAUUAUUUUGUAGUAUAUAAAUUACAAAAAAAUAAAUAUAAUAACUGAUAAUGCACUAUGUAGCCUAGCUAUCGGAUUGCUUGUGCCUUACGUAACUUUUAUUUUUAUUGCUUCAUAAUUAUAGUAUUUUCUGCUUUGCUGUUACUGUAUAUCAUACAACCCAAAACGUGCUUAACAGUUUGAGCUGAACUGAGUAAUUUGAGUAAAGUGUGGUUGCUGCAGUGUGCACGACGUGAGAGCGUAACGUGCGAGUUCUGCAUUUCUGAGUAUUUGAAUGACAUUUCUGUAUAGUGCACAGAGAAAAAUAUGCUGCAUUAACUAUUCGACCCUGACUAAUUGUUUAGCUAUUUCAUUACAUGAAACAAGAUGUGCAUGUGGUGUGAGAAAUAUGUGAUUUGAUUAUGUUGCAAAAUCUAAAAGCUGGAAGUUUGUCGUUCAGGUGACAAAGAAAAAAAAAAUGACUCACGUAUUUUGUAAUCAAACUGCUGGCUUUCUGUAUUCUCUAUUACAUGUCAGAGAAAAUAAAAUGUUUGGAGUUAUUUUAGAGUCUGCUUGCUUAUUUGUAUGUUUUUAAGUGUGGGGGGAUCUGGAAAAUGAACACUAUGGCUACUAUAUGUGACGUGCUGAAAACACUUGUGUGUGUUUAGAGCCUGUAGGAUAUAUAAAAUAAAAAAGUCAAAUGUAGCGCGAGGGAGGCAAUGCAUAGAAAGAAAGGUUUCCACAGCCAGAGUAGCCUAUCUUACAAUUAAAAUUACAGACAUUAAAAUGUUUUUCUUGACGACGCCAAUGCUUUUUUCUACUAAACAGCAUGUGGUUUACAUGUUACGUGUGUUACUUGAAUUAUUCACGCAUCGGUGGG
ensembl:lncRNA